AUGACCCGUUUGUCUUCAUUGAUAAAUUCAUAUUCUUCGUCAUUUCUGGUUGUUGUUGUUGUUCACUGGUUUUGGUUUCGUCUUCUCACUGCUCGCAGAGAAUCGCUCUCAUCGAUUUUUUCUCCUGCACUGAAACUGAACUUCACUUUCGCUUUUUGCUUCAGGGAACAGUUUGAUAUUAGAGGCAUUAUCAUCGCUCUGAAAUUUGUAUAA